ACUAAGCGUACACGGUGGAUGCCCUGGCAGUCAGAGGCGAUGAAGGACGUGCUAAUCUGCGAUAAGCGUCGGUAAGGUGAUAUGAACCGUUAUAACCGGCGAUUUCCGAAUGGGGAAACCCAGUGUGAUUCGUCACACUAUCAUUAACUGAAUCCAUAGGUUAAUGAGGCGAACCGGGGGAACUGAAACAUCUAAGUACCCCGAGGAAAAGAAAUCAACCGAGAUUCCCCCAGUAGCGGCGAGCGAACGGGGAGCAGCCCAGAGCCUGAAUCAGUGUGUGUGUUAGUGGAAGCGUCUGGAAAGGCGCGCGAUACAGGGUGACAGCCCCGUACACAAAAAUGCACAUACUGUGAGCUCGAUGAGUAGGGCGGGACACGUGGUAUCCUGUCUGAAUAUGGGGGGACCAUCCUCCAAGGCUAAAUACUCCUGACUGACCGAUAGUGAACCAGUACCGUGAGGGAAAGGCGAAAAGAACCCCGGCGAGGGGAGUGAAAAAGAACCUGAAACCGUGUACGUACAAGCAGUGGGAGCACAGAGCAAUCUGUGUGACUGCGUACCUUUUGUAUAAUGGGUCAGCGACUUAUAUUCUGUAGCAAGGUUAACCGAAUAGGGGAGCCGAAGGGAAACCGAGUCUUAACUGGGCGUUAAGUUGCAGGGUAUAGACCCGAAACCCGGUGAUCUAGCCAUGGGCAGGUUGAAGGUUGGGUAACACUAACUGGAGGACCGAACCGACUAAUGUUGAAAAAUUAGCGGAUGACUUGUGGCUGGGGGUGAAAGGCCAAUCAAACCGGGAGAUAGCUGGUUCUCCCCGAAAGCUAUUUAGGUAGCGCCUCGUGAAUUCAUCUCCGGGGGUAGAGCACUGUUUCGGCAAGGGGGUCAUCCCGACUUACCAACCCGAUGCAAACUGCGAAUACCGGAGAAUGUUAUCACGGGAGACACACGGCGGGUGCUAACGUCCGUCGUGAAGAGGGAAACAACCCAGACCGCCAGCUAAGGUCCCAAAGUCAUGGUUAAGUGGGAAACGAUGUGGGAAGGCCCAGACAGCCAGGAUGUUGGCUUAGAAGCAGCCAUCAUUUAAAGAAAGCGUAAUAGCUCACUGGUCGAGUCGGCCUGCGCGGAAGAUGUAACGGGGCUAAACCAUGCACCGAAGCUGCGGCAGCGACGCUUAUGCGUUGUUGGGUAGGGGAGCGUUCUGUAAGCCUGCGAAGGUGUGCUGUGAGGCAUGCUGGAGGUAUCAGAAGUGCGAAUGCUGACAUAAGUAACGAUAAAGCGGGUGAAAAGCCCGCUCGCCGGAAGACCAAGGGUUCCUGUCCAACGUUAAUCGGGGCAGGGUGAGUCGACCCCUAAGGCGAGGCCGAAAGGCGUAGUCGAUGGGAAACAGGUUAAUAUUCCUGUACUUGGUGUUACUGCGAAGGGGGGACGGAGAAGGCUAUGUUGGCCGGGCGACGGUUGUCCCGGUUUAAGCGUGUAGGCUGGUUUUCCAGGCAAAUCCGGAAAAUCAAGGCUGAGGCGUGAUGACGAGGCACUACGGUGCUGAAGCAACAAAUGCCCUGCUUCCAGGAAAAGCCUCUAAGCAUCAGGUAACAUCAAAUCGUACCCCAAACCGACACAGGUGGUCAGGUAGAGAAUACCAAGGCGCUUGAGAGAACUCGGGUGAAGGAACUAGGCAAAAUGGUGCCGUAACUUCGGGAGAAGGCACGCUGAUAUGUAGGUGAAGUCCCUCGCGGAUGGAGCUGAAAUCAGUCGAAGAUACCAGCUGGCUGCAACUGUUUAUUAAAAACACAGCACUGUGCAAACACGAAAGUGGACGUAUACGGUGUGACGCCUGCCCGGUGCCGGAAGGUUAAUUGAUGGGGUCAGCGCAAGCGAAGCUCUUGAUCGAAGCCCCGGUAAACGGCGGCCGUAACUAUAACGGUCCUAAGGUAGCGAAAUUCCUUGUCGGGUAAGUUCCGACCUGCACGAAUGGCGUAAUGAUGGCCAGGCUGUCUCCACCCGAGACUCAGUGAAAUUGAACUCGCUGUGAAGAUGCAGUGUACCCGCGGCAAGACGGAAAGACCCCGUGAACCUUUACUAUAGCUUGACACUGAACAUUGAGCCUUGAUGUGUAGGAUAGGUGGGAGGCUUUGAAGUGUGGACGCCAGUCUGCAUGGAGCCGACCUUGAAAUACCACCCUUUAAUGUUUGAUGUUCUAACGUUGACCCGUGAUCCGGGUUGCGGACAGUGUCUGGUGGGUAGUUUGACUGGGGCGGUCUCCUCCUAAAGAGUAACGGAGGAGCACGAAGGUUGGCUAAUCCUGGUCGGACAUCAGGAGGUUAGUGCAAUGGCAUAAGCCAGCUUGACUGCGAGCGUGACGGCGCGAGCAGGUGCGAAAGCAGGUCAUAGUGAUCCGGUGGUUCUGAAUGGAAGGGCCAUCGCUCAACGGAUAAAAGGUACUCCGGGGAUAACAGGCUGAUACCGCCCAAGAGUUCAUAUCGACGGCGGUGUUUGGCACCUCGAUGUCGGCUCAUCACAUCCUGGGGCUGAAGUAGGUCCCAAGGGUAUGGCUGUUCGCCAUUUAAAGUGGUACGCGAGCUGGGUUUAGAACGUCGUGAGACAGUUCGGUCCCUAUCUGCCGUGGGCGCUGGAGAACUGAGGGGGGCUGCUCCUAGUACGAGAGGACCGGAGUGGACGCAUCACUGGUGUUCGGGUUGUCAUGCCAAUGGCACUGCCCGGUAGCUAAAUGCGGAAGAGAUAAGUGCUGAAAGCAUCUAAGCACGAAACUUGCCCCGAGAUGAGUUCUCCCUGACUCCUUGAGAGUCCUGAAGGAACGUUGAAGACGACGACGUUGAUAGGCCGGGUGUGUAAGCGCAGCGAUGCGUUGAGCUAACCGGUACUAAUGAACCGUGAGGCUUAACC
rnacentral:rRNA from 1 species